GCCUGUAUGGGUGAGUUGGAGAGAGUUGACUUAGGUAUUUUCGGGGACAGAGCGUCGAGCGAAGGUCGAAAAGAAGGCAUGAAUGAAUGGGGCUCGUCUAUGUGUGUGUGUGUGUGUGUGGGACGCCUCCUAGUCGUAGGUGUCUCUGCAGUAGUUGUUGUUCUUGUUGUUGUUGUUGUUGUUGCUCCUGGCAGUUGGAGGCUGCGAGAGCGGAUGACGCGUGUUCUUGAAGAGAAGUCGCAACUCGCGACCCAGUGGCACCAUCCAAACCCAUUUUGUACUCUAUUCGCGCAAAGGGUUUCCUCGGCUUAUUCAUAGAUAUGCGGAUUCAUAGAUAUGCGGAUUCAUAGAUAUGCGUAACAUUAACUUUCAACUCAUUUCUAAUGAGUAUAAAAUUUGUAAUCUCUAUAGCCGAAACAUAACGCGCAAAGUAUUUAGCUUAAAAUAAAAUGUAGAUUGUGGGAUUAUCAAGAUCAUGGUGUAUAAUUCUACUAACUAACAAAUCAUCCAAUUUAAAAAAUUCCUUUAAUGUGAAAUAUUGUGAUAGGAUGUAUCCGCAGUCGGUGUCCUCUCAGUUUGCACUUUUAUUGAUUUGUUUUGGCCACUGCUUGGUUAUAGUUAUGGUUAUGCUCAAUGACCAAUUGCCGCGGCCGGGAAGCUGAGAGUUCCUUCGCUCCGCCAAUUGAUUUUUAUUUACACACAUAUUUUCAAUUGAUUGUUAUUAAAUUGACUUUGAGGCGCGUGCAAAUUUCUGGAAGCCUUGGGAAACAUUUUGCGUGCGACUCCAUGUGUCCGCCACUCCGAUGUCAAUAUCAAUUCACUCACUUUAGCUUUUUGGGGGCCUGACGCAAGUGCAACCAAAACAAACGAUGAUGGAUGUGUUUAUGAUAUGGGGAAGUAAGCAUUAGGCAAAUAAUUAAACGCACUUAGGUGCCUCGUCUUUCUGCGAUGCUCUGCAAUUUUUUUAAUUCACUUAUCUAUUUGUCUUUCGUUUCAAAAAAAACACCAAACGCGCCCCCAUAAACGAAAGAAAAGACGUCGCGGGGGGCUCGUCUCUCUAUUUCAUAACGUGGCAUAAACAUUGCGCGCAAUGAGACGACACAAUUUCCAAGUACCAGGCCCGCCAGCCGGUUUCGUUUCAUUUGCAGAUACAGAUACGACUAGACCAGCAACAGAUACGGAUACUCGGUCGGUAAUGCUCGAAUAUCUGGAUGGUCACCAGGGGUCACCCUGACCAGCAGAAGUACUCAGAAUUGCAUUACACCAAUAAGUUUGAGUUUCAACUAACCUGCCUAAAUUCAUAGAAUGUUCUUACCAAUUCAAACUGUAAGCCCUUAAGCUCAUAUUUUAAUCUCGUUCAGGUUCCUUAAACUAUCAAUUUACCCACCAUUAGUCACUAACUAGAUUAACGCCUGAAUCCGAGUAUUACGAAGCAUUUCAAUUUUAACAAUCGAUAGCAAUACUAUUAUUAAAUAGGUGUUUAUUGGCAACCAUUAUCUCUGAAACGAUCUGCGGUUCAGAGAUUAGGACCCCCCAUCGGUCCACGCCUCUGGUCAAAUAUUUUGGACAAUUAACGGAAAGUUUUUAGUCACGAUUCUUCGCAGCACGCGUAAGAUAUUUCGGCAUUUCCAUUUCCACCACAUCGACCGUCAUUUGCCCUCGACUCGAAGUUGCGAUCGGCUCAGUUGGAUCGAGGAAAAGUAAUAACACAAAAACAAUAGUUAGAGCUCUCAAAUGUUGAUGAAUGUUGUCGUUUCUCGAACUGUGGGAAGGUCGAAAAUGCGGCACGCAAAAAAUGUUUGAAUACAAAAGUUGAUUGACAGGAAUCGCGAGAAGGAGAGAAAGAUCUUGAGAGAGAGAUGGCGAGAGAAAAUAAACUGGCGAAAUAGGAAUUUGAAGUGGUGAAAAAAAAACGAAAGUGCAAUGAACUUUAAAAGUAAUUGCACAAAUGUGGAGUACUGAGGGUUUGACUUUGGAAGGGCACUGAGCAAAAGUUAAGGUAACUUUAUAUAUUCAUGGAAAUGGAUAAGUUUUACAACCCGAAAUAAUAAUUACUACAGACUUUUAGAAAAGUCACCAUGAACUACUCUCUCUUAGAAACCACCCACUUUAGAUGAUUCAUUGGAGCAUAAUGAAGUGUUCGCAUUAACAGGCUUUUCGCAUUCAAGGCUUUUAACUUAUCUGUGGAAAGAUAGGUGUAUCAGUUCUGUUUCCCCGCACAUGACGUAAUUAACAGGGAGCUUUCACGUAAUUACCGAACUGUACUCGCUUUUCACAGACCCACUUCCUAUUUUGUCUAUUUUUAGCAGCUUCAACAGUCUAAAAAAUAAGCGAAAACCACAACAGAAAUGGCGAACCCAGUGCUGAAAAUGCCAAAAGAGACGAGCCCCCCAGUUGCACGUACUGACUAGAGAGACUGAGGGAGAGAGAGAGGGGGGAUAUAUAUGUAAGAAAAGAGAAGGAGUUAUAAAGGGGAAAAGGAGGGGUAGAGGUAGAGCACCUGGUAACAGCAUUAAUGAAAGAGAAGUCCGAAGAGAGUGCAUCAACCUAUUAAAUUUGCGAAGUGGCGCAGGCGCGCGACUUAAAAGCUGAUGCAAUUGCGCAUUUAUUGCAUCAGACUCCAACAGCGAGGCUCCACUGUAGAAAUAAAAAUAACUCAAACUCUGGUACGUGAACGGAAAUUUUCCAUACGCUAAUUAAAGAACUUCGACAAAGUCAAAUUGAAGCAAAUGGCAGAAAAUCAUUAAAAGCUUAUUUAUCUAAUUGAAGUCACAUAAAUUUUUGCGAAUAAGAGAGAGUGUUCGAAAGAGAGACACGUGAUCUCUUUCCGUUCUCUUUUCCGCUUUUUUUGCAGCUAAAAUUAGCGCCAAGAUAUCAAAAUAUGUAAGGCAAAAAAAGAGACCAAUAAGUUAAGUUAAGCAUGUGAUUUUGCACCUCACCCUUUCUUUCUUUAUAUUCGUCACGCGGCCACCAAAUUAAAAUGUUGCUGUCUUUAUAAACACACAAAAAUAAAAAGAAAAUUUAUCCUAGAUUUUAAAGAAUAACAACGAUAAAUUUCAUUGGCCAUCUGAUUAAUAGGUAUGCAAUAUUCUAAAGUCGCUUUGGUAUUGACCUGCUUUUUUUCCGUGUACAUAUGUUAUGUACGAACAACUACACAUGUUUGUGUGUAUACAACUGAAUAUUCGAUUGCGUCUGUGUGCGUGGUGACGUUGCUGCUUUUGGCAAACCAGACGAGCCUCCAACCAACACUAAGAGCCCCCAUAGCCCCCACACCCAUACACACAUGGCCAAUUAAGCUCCACAUGGUGACUUUGCUGAACCUUUAGCUACUGCAAUCAAACUUUGGCAUUUUCCCAUUUGGCUUGCUGAUUAGAUCCGAUUAUGACGAACGUUACGCUCCGCAGGAAUUUUUAUAAUCUUCCCGAUCGCACUUUAAACUCGGUCCAACUUACCAAUGCACCUGUCCAUCCAUCCGAUCGAUCGCUGCCCCCUAACGAAAAGCUCCCCCAAAAAGCUUUGUUCGUCACCUAAUCAUUAGAAUUUGACUUUUGUUUUCUAUUAAUACCCGGCUAAUUUUCAAUGGGAAGUGGCUGCCUAGUACAACAACUAACACGUGUGCAAAUAAGACCUGUUUCAGUGGUAUACCGGAAAAAAUUUCACAUCAAUUAAUAAUUAUUUAGGUAUUGCAUUUGUUAAUCUCUUUAAAUAUGAAUCAAAAUGCUAGAUUUCCAUAUGUUACAAUGUAUUUUCAGGAAUGUCAUGUUAAAUAUGAAAUAUUUUUCUUGGUGUACCGCCAGGUGAGACAGCAAGAGGUACUCAGACAUCCAGGUAAUUAAGGCAAGCUAAAUGGCAAGACCGGUGCCCUUCAGCCAAGGUCAAAGUCGCACUGUCCGUCUGUCUAUCAGCAUUUUUGUCACCAACCGCCAGUGGGCAGUUCAAAAGUUGCGAAGUUGCGUCAGAUCGCUAAUAGAAAACUUAACUCUACAUAUGUAUAUAUGUACACCUGUAUGUACACAUACAUGAUAUCCACGGGAUAUGUACAUACAUACAUAUAGGAAUAAACCCACAAACAAAACGACGAUCGGCGGCGUCUGGCUUGACUAGUUAGUCAUACAGUUUUUAGUCUGCCAGCCAGUAUGCAAAGAUUAAAAUACUUAACCGAGUCUGGUUUUGGCGGCUUUAAUUGAUGGCGUUUAUUUAUAAAUCAUCUCAUGAAUAUGCACAUUUUUUAGAGGAUAAAACAAUGUAGGUUCCGUUUGACGUGGAACUAUUGGGGGGAACUAAAGGGUAGAUCAGCUAUCGUACGAUAGUCUACGGGCACUAAAUAAACUGUUUUUUAAAGUGUUAAUUAAAUGGAUGAUGCAAAACGUUUUGCAAAAAGUUGCUAGAAACUAACGUAUUGCCAUCUAUUAGGCACCGAACAUUCCGAAGUACAUCUACUACUCAUAAAAGUCAAGUAUUGAAGCACAAAAAUGUCAAUGGGAACCUUUAAUUGUAUAAAUUAAACAACAAAAAGGGCACAUUAUGUGCUAAGUAAUAAAUAGAAGCCUUGACCUACGUGCAAAAAUGUUCAAAGCGUAGGAAGUAGUUUCGAUAUCGUUUGUUUUCAAAACAAAUGCAAAAUAACGAACUAAUUCUUAAUCCAUGUAUGCAACCCUGCUCGAGAACUUGCCACGUGGACUGUUUGAAGUUGCGCUCCGACGGCGCCAAGAACAUGGCCUCGGUGGCGCAGUUGGCAGCGCGUAAGUCUCAUAAUCUUAAGGUCGUGAGUUCGAGCCUCACCCGGGGCAUGUAACUUUUUUUUCUUCCUUCUGUUCAAUUUUUUCCUUUUUAUGAUGGUUAAAUCUACUUUAACGGUUUUAAAAUGUUUCUGAUUGCUUAUAAUAAAAUACUUUACAUUUUUAACAAUCGUCCUUUUUCAGUAAAUAAUAUUUUUGUACCAGUUAAUUGUAACUCACCCUAAAUAUAAUGUUAGAAUGUUAUUUAAAUUUGUAAUUGAUUUUUAUAUUUUGUUUAAAUAUUAUCCAUCUUGUAUGUUCAGGUAUAUUUAUACUUUAGUUUCGCCUAUUCUAAUCAAAUAUUUUGACAUCGUGCUAGCAUUUAAGCAACCCUUUGUAAAUUGCGAAUGUACUCACUAAAUCCGUCAUAAAAUUACGCUGGCGUGCGGCCGGGAUUAUUACGAUUACAAAAUGCAGUCCCGUAAUUCAAACCGUGCAAUUAAACGGCCAUUACGGCUGACAUUAGCUUCUUCCAGCUAGCAACGAGAUCGGGACAAAGCAAAUAUAAAACGUUCCACGGGCGGUGCAAUGAUCAGAUCGGAGCCACCAGGCAAAACCGGGAUGAUGGGCCAUGUCAAUAUUUAGACUAAAACCCACACACCCACGUCGUCUGAAUGUCACGCGGUCGCCAGUGGGUUAAGGCUGUUCUAACCGGAAUUUUGUGAUAGGUCGGCUUAAUAUCUAAUGAACUCUGUUGCACUGGAAAAAAAGAAUUCAGAACAGCAAGCAAAUUGGAUGUGAUUCAGCUUUCAAACGAAGGAUUUAAAUGUAGAUUUUUCUUAAAAUUAAAAAUAUGUUCUAAUUAUAAAUUUUCAUUUAAUUUCCUAUAUAUUUUUUUCUAAGGUUUUUUCUAGAAAAGGUUUAUAGGGGGUUAUUUCUUCCAGUUUAGUUUGCACUUUCGCAGAACUGCAUCUGAAAAGGAUUCCUCGCCUGUUUCAAGUUGAAUACUCCUUUCAUAUGACACCUUUUUGCAGCUGGCCAAGUUGCAUGGCUUAUGUAAAGCGUGCCAAAGAGACGAAGCAAGGUCAGCAAGAUCCGGUAUUGCUACAAGUAUAUAAGAUACUGAUAACAAUUCAACACCCUUGACGGGGAGCGCUGCAACAGAUCUUUUAAGAGAGUACGGAGUGCGUGUACCAAUUUUAAAGGCAAGUGGAAAAUUUCAUGGAAAAUUACCAGGGGGCAUUCGCUGGCAUCGGCGAGACCAAAUGCAGGAGUGCAGAGAUUUCAAAAAAGUUCCUCUGAAACAAAAUGAAAAAUCCAAAAAUUUUCCAUUCAACUGUUCAUCUCUCGACGUGCGCGUGAGUGAGAAAGUACGUCUGCCUCUGCGGCAACCGCAUACCUCUCUUAUUUUUACCCCUCUGAGUAACCGCUACCCUACACACCACAGCCAUCGAUUCGGUUGUUCUUCGUUGAUCGCCAUAAAUUUCAAGUUUGCACCGUGUUCGCCUCGUUCACCGAUCUCUGCACAUGUGAUCGGUCAUGUACGAAUGGCAUCUGUGUGUAUGCCGCAUGUAUCGCAUUGUAUCUGAAUGUGCCAGAUAUUGCCCACUCGUAAGUGGAACAAGCCAGAAAUUGCUACGCUGUGUCUUUUUUCAUUUGGUGUCUGUGCAGUUUCGAACACUGUAUUAUGCACUAAAGUUCUAGAGAUUUUUCUUCGGCGUUAAGGCUUUUCCGUUUCAGAUUUCCCUACUUCUAAAAUCGUAGUAAUUGAAAUAAUAUAAUAAUUGAAUACGAUUUUAAGGAAGUCAACUAACUUGCUAAGUCUAAAAAUAAAUUAUUUGCAAGCAAGUGAUUGAGACUAAAUCGUAGUUUACCUAUUUGUUUACCCAAUCAAAGAUCACUCACUAAUUGCCUGAUCUUCGAUCCAUAAGAAUGUAUUUAUCUUCAGCUUUGUGGCAUGCACGCUAGGUAUUAUCCCUUUGCUCCCAGCUUGUUAAUUUCCUCUAAAUGCCUGAAUUAUUUUACCGACCGCCCGAACACUCUGCACAAAUUAACAUUUAUCUACUAACAUUCACACCUUCAAUUCGGUCACAUGUGCGACUUUCCACGAACCGAUAUGGCAAUGUGAUUUAGUCGAAGAUAUGGCUGAAAACACCAUCAGCGUCACAAAAAAAAGUUUCCACGAGUCGAGUGGAGCUUUCCUUUCAUGACGUAGUAUUUGCCGUGAAUGCUUAUUUUAUAGUAUUAUAAUUAGUAUAUUAUAAUUAAGUAUAAAAUAUAUUUAAAGAUUCCAGAUUUUUAUGAGCAUUCCACUCUUAUUCCAAGUGCAAUGCUCAACUUUUUCAGGAUAGGGCAUUAACCGACUCUUUCAUGAGGAUGCACUUAAGAGAGCACUUCUCGCAGACAGACAAAGAGCGCCAAAUGCAAAGAGCAUCGAACGAAGAGCGCGUUUGGGGGCACGUUCGAUCGUUGGUUGAUUUUCUUUAUAUUUUUUUUCGAAUUUCUUGUUGUUGCUGCCUUGUUUGCUGGCUGCUGGGCGACAAGCCCCCGUGCAUGACGUCACGUAAGCGAGACCGUUACAACAAAUGCGAAACGUGUUGUGCGGGGGGAAGCAGCGGAGAGAGAGAGAGAGAGAAAUAGAGAAGGAGAGGGAGUCGCUGUACGAAAGAGACAGCAGCACAUGCAACGUGACACGCGAAGCGAAGCACAAAUAAAUAGUAAAAUAUUUAUAAUAAUUUCGAGCAUGUGACCAAUUUGUCGGUAAAUCGAAUGCAGCGAUAAGACGCAGAUAUUAAGACCCCGAUAAAAUAGCCAUCGAGGUGCAGAAAACGCGGGUCGCAAGUGCGAAAAUUCUCGAUCACUUGCCAUUUACAUACAUAUAUGUACAUAUGCCACGAUUUAAGGGCUAUAUUUAGGCCCGAUCCCAGACAGAUCCGCCAAUGCACCCGCCAACCUUGAACUUACAACACACACAGAUAUGCACACACACAUACAUAGUACACACAUAUGCACUUGCAUAACGGCCAGACAUUUUUGCAUUUGCAUAUUUGCAGUCGACUAAACCCCAUUCCGAUUCCGAUCCGCUCCGAUUCACCUAUCUAUAUCUAUAUAGUCGGCGAGCGUCUGGUCAGGUGCGGAAAACUGGAAUUCUUAAUCAGUCGGCUGUCGACUUGUAUCGGCAGACCUGAAAUCAAAGCAGUAACGAUUUUGUCAAGUAUGUCCGACUGGUUUGCCGGCCAUUCCACUGACACCCUGUGUAAGCAGCGGGGUAUAUGGGUUACUCGGUCGUUUUACGUAUUCAUAAAUUAUGAAAGUUCAUAUAAAGAAAAUCGUUUGAGUUUUGACGUGAAUUCUGUUUACUAUUUGAGUCAAAUAGGCCUAGGUAUUAGGUAUAAAACAAUUCUUACUUUAAUUAAAAUACAGUAGACAUCUGAAAGUUUUUCAGAUACCUAUUGAUUUCACUGCCUCCACUUAUAGGAUAAAAGUCAUGUAGUUUACUCGGCUGUGUUAAAAUGUUAGUAAUAUUAUUUAAAUAUUUCUCCUUUUAGGACUUGGUCUGAAAAUAAAGAAGCAUACUUUUAGGAUCUCUUUAAAGACUUUUCAAAAUACUGUACAUCGAUUUCAGUGAAUAUUUCCAAACAAGGAAUUGUAAAUUAAAUCAGUAUAAUUUCCUUAUAAAGUAUAUACAUAAAUGUAAAAGGAUUUACAUUUAUUAUAAAUAUUUUGAAUUUCUAUAAUUAUUUUUUAAUAUUUGUUUAUAUUGUUCAAAUUUUUCUACUGUUUUUCAAGAUAUUUCAAUAUUUUUUAAACAAAUAAAUCCCAGGGGAAGCACACCUGCCACUGCUAUUUGACUUUCCGUUGCAACUCUGAGCUGCUAUUACGUUCCUGGCCAAACAUUGUUGAGCGCCCCAAGAUCACUCGACUUGGUAGCCCUCUUGGGUAGCCAGACGAGCAGCUUCCGGCUGGUUAAGUCAGGUGAGCUUGGCUGAGAUCGGCUGAGGUGGGCACGUCAUUGUCACGUUUCGUUUGUCUACGAUUCGACGGCCAGCAGUGUACAUAUUGUGCAAUUAAGUCGGGGCGGGCUCAAUUGUCGCUUAGACUAAUGCAUAUGCAAUGGGCCCAUAAAACGAAGUCAAAUACCGAUCCGCGAGACUUGAUUUCUAGAUACACAGUGGCCCAGACACGCCCCUCCCUUUGGCAGCCCUGCUAAACGAUCCCAAUUGAACUCGUAGAGAUACAUAGAUACAAAGAUACAUAGUUUCAGAGGGAGAACUUCGCAGAUUUGCAAUGACGCAGUUCGUUCGGUGCGCACUAACUGUACCGUGGGUAUUCCAUAUCGUUCCGCUCAUAUCAAUCAAAUUGCCAUACUGUUAUCGAUUUAAAUGAAAACUGCCUGCGAUCGGUAAAUUGAUUGAUUAUAUAUGAGCUGAAAUUUCCUUUAGGAGAUUUCAUUUCUCCGCCUGUUGGUGCACUUUAUUUUUUCCACUGUGCCUAGGCCGAGCCCUCUAAAAUAAAUUUUCCAUCGCUGGAAAUUGUUUAUUGACUUGAUUGACUUUAACUUGCCACACAGACUUUUAUUACGGCAAGGAAAUCAAAUCGUUGGUGUAUGCAAAUUAAUCGUACCGCUGCCGUUCUAUUGACUGUAUUUCGAGCUCCUAACUUACGCAAUCUAGGCCGGCUAUAAACAAAACGAAGAUCAAGUUUUGUGACGCCCGCGUUUCACUCGAUUUUCUCGAAAAACACCUGUGUCAAUGUACGAGCGAUGCCGUACGCGUAAAAGGUGAAAUCCAAGCGAUAGGUUCCCGCGGGCACCGGCAUGCUGAUCUUUCUGAAAUCCAGGGCGAACUUCUCCACCGUCAUGUGAUUCUGGAAGAAAAAAUAUGGAGUGAUACAGGGCACGAGUCAAAGGGAAGUCGAUUAUGGCGAAUAAAUUCUAUUUAUAUUCAUUACAAUUCAGUUAAACCCAGACAAUCGUGAUUUUAAAAAAUUUCUGUUCUGCAAUGAAGCGUUAAAAUCGGGAUUAAACUUAAACAUCAGACUGUUAUCGAAAUAAAAUCAAAAUUUUAGAUUGAAUAUGGAUUGAUAUAAGCAGAGAAUUAUAUAGAAUCUCUAGUUGUUUGUUAAUUAUGUUGCAGAUUACGAAGAAUCCCUUAUACACUUACCUCCGUCCAAGGACACGUUUGAUUAAAGUUACUCUGCUUGCGAAUAGCAUCAAAGAUGAAUCGUUCAAAGGACAAAUCGUAAUUCCUGCUGGCCAUUAGUUUGCAGAAAUCAAAGAGUAUGUUGUACAUAAAGGGUCGAUAGCCAUCCCGCCGUUGAAAGCACUGCAAUCUGGUGGUCAGAUUGCGAAUGGGUAGCUGAAACAGGCUGACCUUCAGUGAAAGUUCCACCUGAUUCCUGCGAACCACCUUCAAAUGACAGUAUUCAUAUUUGGUGAGACCACGAGAUGUGGGCAAAUCCAUGCACUUGACGUUGGUGAACUUCAGGAGACGAGUGCCCUACAGGAUAAUUUGAAUCAAAUUUAAAAAAUAAAAAAAAAAUGAUCAUACCAUGGAAUCCUGCAGCAGAAUAGACAGAAACAGCAAAUAUAGUAGCCCAUUCGACGGCAUUUGGUAUGAGUGAAACAAUGGCUUAGUCGAGCAAAAAUCGAGCACAGUAAACGAUAAGCCCAAAAAUGCGAUAAAAUAAUAAUUAUUUCCAAAUGUAUAAGCGAUUAAAAAAUCGUUAACCAAAUACAACGCCAUUUCUGGCAACUGGAGUUCAAAUCGCACUAGUUCAAAGACCCAGGAAAAGAACAGUCAAGCAUUUUCUGUGUAUAGAACGUAUUUUAAGCCCUCGAUUAGAGCCAUAGUUCGUGACCAAUGGCUAUUGACUUCUACUUCAAUUACACAAAAUCAUUCAAUUCUUGGAAGUAUGUUAACAAUUUCCUGUUCUUGUGAUCGUUUUUCGCUUACCCAAAAGUGCUAAAUCCAGGGGAAAUUGUAAAGCGAUUUUCACACCAAAAAAAAAAAAAAAAAAAAAACA